UGGCCUGCCUGGCCACCUUAACCCCUUUCAAUCCUGUGUGGGGCAGAUGCUGCAUUACAGGGUCAAAACUCACUCUCUGUAGAUGUCAGUGGGAAAAGUAGGCAACCUUAUUCUGAGCACUUCGGGGAGAAGCUUGUAGAUAACUUCAGCACCUCCUGCACCGAAGAUGGGAAGUAGUUGGUCCCAGUGACAGGCUGAGGCAACGGCAUGUGGCUAACAGCACCACGACAUCCCUUUGGACCCGAGACCUAGAGCUGCCUUUGACUAGCCAGUCAUCGAGGUACAGAUAGAUCUGGACACCCCUACAUUUGAGUGCUUGCCAAUCAAAGGGGAGAUCUUGCAUUGACUGUUGAGCCUCCAUGGACAAACCAGAGAGGAGCAGCCAGGAUACCCGGCGCAUAGCAUCGGCUGAGGCCAUGGUUUGGGCGGCAGUGUCCGCCGCAUCCGACACCGCCUGGGAGGUCGCCCUGGCCGCAGUCUUGCCCUCCUCUAUGAUCUCCUAGAACUCCUCCCUAGAAGUCUCAGGAAGGGAGCCCUCAAACUUGGCCAUGGCUUGCCACAUGUUAAAGGCAUAGCAUCCCAGGAGGGCCUGAUGGUUGGCCACCCUCAACUGGAG